CACCAAGCAACCGAAUAAACGUCUCGGUUGUGGGCCCACCGGCGAAGCGGAUGUGCGUAUACAUCCGUUCUUCCGACGAAUCGAUUGGGAGAAAAUCGAGAAUCGUGAAGUGCAACCGCCAUUUAAGCCGAAAAUUAAACAUCGCAAAGAUGUCUCGAAUUUCGAUAAGCAAUUCACUUCGGAGAAAACGGAUCUGACACCAACGGAUAAAUUAUUUAUGAUGAAUUUCGACCAAACGGAAUUUAGGGGUUUCUCCUACGUGAAUCCGGACUAUGCGGUGCCAGUUUAAAAGCACUGAAUCUCCACAUACACACACCCAAAAGCACUUCGUUAGGCCAGCGUGUGUUGGAAUCGAAAGGACCCAACCACGAAAAGAAAAGCGAAAGCUGGGGAGAGAGAGCGGAAUUAAGCGAAUGAGAGGAUAUUGUCCUUUGGUGCGUAAGUGUAUACUUUGUUGCGAUGCGUGUUUUUCGAGCACACUGUACUUUCGUGUGAACGACGUGCCAUUAUAAGGCGCGAAAGCCAGAGUGCKGAACUUUAAUCCACUAAAACCAACCUACUCCCAACUCAAGGCUCUCCCACGGAACCACCAAAUAAGGUAUUAUUUUCUGGGAGUGACAAGACAUUUUUAGACUGACGCCUGUUCUGCUGUAGAUGUCUAAGAAUUGUCGUAAUGGAAGUUACCGCUUCGCGAGCAGACGACCUUCUUCAUGAACGAAGGGCAUUUGCCUGCAGCCUGUGAAAGGAAAAAGCUUCGAAAAUAUUACGCGGCGAGUUUUGGAUCAAGCACAUGCAAAGAAAUAUAAAUGUGCUCGGUAAAGGCUCUAUGCUAUAAAAGUGUUACGUCAUUAUAUAAACAGAUGAUAUGGAAUUGCCUAUGACUGAGAGAAGGUGUUCGCGCUCUCAGGUAAACCACCACGUUUGGUCUCACUACACUCGUGCUUUCAAACUAUGUGAUCUUAUGUCAGCAGAUUUAUGGCCGUCUCAAGGAAUCUGUAGUUAUGGAAGAGUUCUGAAGUAGAGCUUGCCGACUUCAGUUUGAGUAAGGAAGGUAUUGAAGAACGUGAUUCCAGGAGAACUUUCUGUGAUACCAAACUAUGAACCCUAUAACCAUACCCCCGAUUGGUGUUCUUUCGGUGUUUUGAUUUACGAAAUGUUGACGGACCGUAAUUCCUUCGAGGCUGAGGAUGAGGAGAACACGUUCAAAAAUAUUAAAGAUAAGAAAGCAGUCUUUCCGUAACACUUCUCUCAAGAGGCUAUGCAUGUGCGAGGCUGAGGAUGAGGAGAACACGUUCAAAAAUAUUAAAGAUAAGAAAGCAGUCUUUCCGAAACACUUCUCGCAAGAGGUUAUGGAUUUGCUAACAAGCUUUCUUGCUAAGAAGCCAAACAAUCGGUCAGAAAUGCCAGACGCUAUGCACGCUCUGAGGUAACCAUAUAUCCAUUCUUUAGGAAUAUUGACUGGUAUAAGACGGAAGCUAAGGGAAUGAAGCCACCAAUUGUGCCGCAAAUUGUAAACGCUGAGCUAAAAGCUUAACAGUCGUUAUCAAUAAGUGAUAACAUCGAAUUUCGAUAAAGUUUUCAUAACUGAGAAAGCAGACUUGACACCAACCGACGCGUUAUUUAUGAUGAACUUGGAGCAGAAUGACUUUAUAGGCUUUUCUUA